UCUCCAGGUGUUUUCCGCGGGUUUCCCCGCCCCGCGGACGAAAUCCUGGAGCGUUCCGGCGGGCUGGCGCUGCGCAAGUGGGGGCGGCCGCCUAGGUUCCCCCUCCCUUGGAAGAAAGCAGCUUUUAUGAAGUAAGAAGGAGGAAGCCCCAGGAACAGGAAUCUCACCUUGAAGGUCACUCCUCGGACCUCAGACUUCUCAGCCACAGCUUUUGAGCAGAGGCAGGAUACUCCUAGAAAGGAGCAGGUCCUGGGUUUGCAUAGUCCGCAGUAGCAGUUCUUUAUUCUGCUCAGAAUGAGCAUUGCCCCGCUAUCACCGCAUCCAGAGGGCCUCACCAUGAUGAAAGGUCUGGACCAAGCUUCAGGAAAGAUAGCUGUACAUUCAACCUUCUCUGUACUUUCCCAAAAGGAACAGAAAAAGAACAAAUCCCAGGUGAGCUGUUUUUCAUUUCUCACAUUGUUUUCCAUUGCAUAAAACAAUGAAGAUAAAAAUGAUAAAAGCU